UAGAUCUGUGCAGAUUCCCUCACUCUCUCAAAAAAAAAAAAAAACCGUGCAGAUUCUGUCUCGGUCGCUCCUCUUCGCGUUCCAGGAAUCCGCCGCUUCUCGGGAAGGCGGGCGCGGCGGCGCUUCCAUGGCUCGGCCAGCGCCAGAUCUAACGGCGUCUUCCUAGGGAAGAGCAAGAGCACCGGCAGAUGCCUCGUGGUCGGCUAUAUCGGCCGUCUGCGGCGGCCUCGGGGCUCACCAGAUCUGGCGGUGGGCGGCGACAUCGAGCUGAACGACCUCCAUCGGCGCCAAGCAGACCCUGCCGUAUCGUCGGCGUCGAGCAGCUUCGCCAACGACCUCCACUUCUGCGACCUCGGCGGCGGCUGCUCGUUCAUCCCCUGCGUCAUUGUUGGAUCCGUGGCCAGCAGCAGCGGCGCCCGUCUGCUGUUCAAGAACUUCAGGCACAGGGAAAUAAACAAAUGGCAGCAGGAGUAUGUGUACAACAGUACAUGCAUUCAAGUGUACAGGCACAGCAGAAGGAAACUCUACAACAUCUACAGCACCUCCUCCACCUUCAUCCCCAGCAAUGUUGACUCCAGCCUCGUCAGCUAUGGCUUCGCCUCCUCGAAGUUCGUCACCGUCUUCAGGAGGAGGAGCGUUGAGGUCAAAGAGAUGAAUCGCCGCCAUGGAGCUUGA
rnacentral:lncRNA from 1 species